ensembl:lncRNA
ACCGGAAUGUGGUCUUUGUACAGGCAUGUACAAAGACCCUGGAGACAGAUGGGGGCAGGGAACAUCCAGCGAUCCUCCAGGCAGGGAAGAUGCCCCCCGAGGAGCAAUAUUUCAGCAGAGCAUUGAAGGGGCUUUAGGGGUUGGCUGCAGGACACCCACACAGCCCUGUCCAGCCCGCCUUCUCCACGAGGCGGUUCUCCCAGGCUGCCCAUUUCCGACACAAGCCCAAGGGUGCAAACCGCAUUGUGGAGAGUCUGGGAAGCGGAACAGUUAGCAGGAAGGAGAGAAGGAUGAGAGGCUGGUUCCGGCCAGCAGGCCAGCCAGGGCCUAACGCCCCACCAAAGGGUCCCUGUCUCCCUCCACCAGGCACCCAGAGCCGGGACCCGGGAGUGGUCCUGGUUCUUCCCUCCCUCCCGUAAACUCUCUCCAGUGCACCAAUGCCCCUCCCUCCCAAAGCCACUGCCUUGGUUCAGGCCCCCUGACCCCUCACCAGGAGGACCGCGGUCUAGUUUCCCACUCCCCUCACACCCACCCACUGUGGCAGGGACCUCCCUAUAAGCAAACCUGGAUACAUCCUCUCCGUGUUGAAAACCCCUGAAGGCCCCAUGUCCUUCUAAACAAAGGCAAACUUCCCAGCAGGCUGUGCAGCAUCCUCCUCAGUCUUGCCCCAGCGCAGCUCCCGGCCUCAGCCCUCCCGCGUGAAGCUCACACAGCCUCCUCUGCUCACUCAGGGCUCUCUGGGGCCACCAGGUUCUGCACGUGCUGUCCCGGGGCUCAAAGCACCAUUUGCCACCUCACCUGCAGUCAACCCCUAAAGCCAUUCAAUGCUCUGCUGAAAGGUCACUCCUCGGGGGCAUCUUCCCUGCCUGGAGGAUCGCUGGAUUCCCCUGCCACCCAGCGUCCUAUGUCACCAUGGACUUAGUACAUCUCUGUGCCGUGCCAGUCACCAUGUUCUGGUGUAACUGUGCUUACGUGUCUGUCCCCAUCAUCCUCAUCACUCCACCCACAACUUCCCUCCACCCCUGAGCCUUGCAGGCCGGGCCUGCAGUUUGUUCCGUGUGUAUCUCCAGCACUCUGCACAGUGCUGGGCACUCAGGAGGCACCAGAAGCAAACAACCUUUCACAAGGUGCUGAGGCCCCCUCAAGAGAUGGACCCGCCGAUGCCUUUCAUCACCAACAUCCCGGGUGGCCUGUACCCCUCCAAGCAAAUUGUCGUGUCAGGCACUGUCCUGCCCCAUGCUCAGAGCCAGGAUCUGCACCCUGACUUCCCAGCACACCAGGCUGUUCCCUGGAAGGGGAGCUACACAUCGACCCAGCGGGGAUACCAUGCAGGUGUUAACAGCAACCAAAUCAUACCACAAUGCAAAAGAAGAGAGCCACGCCUUAUAGCAGUAUCAAAAUUUACAUUAAAUCUCCAGACCAGAAGAAAAAUGGCGAGUACCCAGCAAUCAAUCCUGAAGACACCAAAAUAUGUAAUCUAAAUGACAAAGAAUUCAAAAUAGCUAUCAUCAAAGACCUCAGUGUGUUAAAAGAGAAUGUAGAGAAACAAUUCAAUGAGUUCAUGAGGUUCUUCGAAAAAGAGAUUGAAACUAUGAAGAACAACCAAUCAGAAAUAUUGAUGAUUAAAUACACAAUGGAUGAGAUAAAACAAAAUAUGCAUUCCCUGAGUACUUGAGUGGAUAUCGUCAAGGAGUGAAUCAG